GCAAGUCGAGCGCAGUCCUUCGGGGCCGAGCGGCGGACGGGAUAGUAACGCGUGGGAACAUACCCAACUCUAAGGAAUAGCCUCUGGAAACGGAGAGUAAUACCUUAUACGCCCUUCGGGGGAAAGAUUUAUCGGAGAUGGAUUGGCCCGCGUUAGAUUAGAUAGUUGGUGAGGUAACGGCCUACCAAGUCGACGAUCUAUAGCUGGUUUGAGAGGAUGAUC
rnacentral:rRNA from 1 species